UUGCUUUUAAAGUUAGCGGCGGACGGGUGAGUAACACGUGGGCAACCUGCCUGUAAGACUGGGAUAACUUCGGGAAACCGGAGCUAAUACCGGAUAAUCCUUUUCCUCUCAUGAGGAAAAGCUGAAAGACGGCAUCUCGCUGUCACUUACAAAUGGGCCCGCGGCGCAUUAGUUAGUUGGGGAGGGAACGGCUCACCAAGGCAACGAUGCGUACCCGACCUGAAAGGGGGAUCGGCCACACUGGGACUGAAACCCGGCCCAAACUCCUACGGGAGGCAGCAGAAGGGAAUCUUCCGCAAGGGACGAAAGUCUGACGGAGCAACGCCGCGGGAGUGAUGAAGGUUUUCGGAUCGUAAAGUUCUGUGGUUAGGGAAAAACAAGUACAAAAGUAACUGCUUGUACCUUGACGGAACCUAACCAAAAAGCCACGGUUAACUACGUGCCACCAGCCGCGGAAAUACGUAGGUGGCAAGCGUUGUCCGGAAUUAUUGGGCGUAAAGCGCGCGCAGGCGGUCCUUUAAGUCUGAUGUGAAAGCCCACGGCUCAACCGUGGAGGGUCAUUGAGAACUGGGGGACUUGAGUGCAAAAAAGAAGAGUGGAAUUCCACGUGUAGCGGUGAAAUGCGUAAAGAUGUGAAGGAACACCAGUGGCGAAGGCGACUCUUUGGUCUGUAACUGACGCUGAGGCGCGAAAGCGUGGGGAGCAAACAGGAUUAGAUACCCUGGUAGUCCACGCCGUAAACGAUGAUGUGCUAAUG
rnacentral:rRNA from 1 species